AGCCAAUCAAAAAAGCCGGAAUAG
rnacentral:tRNA from 1 species